UCGGGUAAUCGCGGCAAUAAGCUUUUGCAAAUUGCUGAGGAAAGUCCAUGCUCGCACGAUGCUGAGAUGCUCGUAGUGUUCGUGCCUAGCGAAUUCAUAAGCUAGGGCAGCUGGUGCAUACCAGUUGACGGCUGGGAAAAUACCUAAGUCAUUUGAUAUGGUAUGAGUACCUUUAAAAGUGCCACAGUGACGUAACCUCUCCAGAAAUGGAGAGGGUGGAACGGGUAAACCCCGCGAGCGAGAAACCCAAAUUAUGGUAGGGGCAUCUUCCCAGAGGAAAUGAACGACGGGAAGGACAGAUGAUGUUCAUCUGUAGAUAGAUGAUUACCGCCUAAGUACGAGACGACGGUCGCUUGCAGUACUUUGGAACAGAACAUGGCUUACAG
rnacentral:RNase_P_RNA from 1 species